rnacentral:rRNA from 1 species
UACGGAAGGCAGCAGUGGGGAAUAUUGCACAAUGGGCGAAAGCCUGAUGCAGCUAUGCCGCGUGUAUGAAGAAGGCCUUAGGGUUGUAAAGUACUUUCAUCGGGGAGGAAAAAACAAAACUAAUAAUUUUAUUUCUUGACGUUACCCGAAAAAGAAGCACCGGCUAACUCCGUGCCAGCAGCCGCGGUAAUACGGAGGGUGCUAGCGUUAAUCAGAAUUACUGGGCGUAAAGAGCACGUAGGUGGUUUUUUUAAGUCAGAUGUGAAAUCCCUGGGCUUAACCUAGGAACUGCAUUUUGAAACUGAAAUACUAGAGUAUCGUAGAGGGAGGUAGAAUUCUAGGUGUAGCGGUGAAAUGCGUAGAUAUCUGGAGGAAUACCUGUGGCGAAAGCGGCCUCCUAAACGAAUACUGACACUGAGUGCGAAAGCGUGGGAGCAAACGAGGAUUAGACUACC